GACGAACGCUGGCGGCGUGCCUAAUACAUGCAAGUAGAACGCUGAAGGAGGAGCUUGCUUCUCUGGAUGAGUUGCGAACGGGUGAGUAGCGCGUAGGUAACCUGCCUGGUAGCGGGGGAUAACUAUUGGAAACGAUAGCUAAUACCGCAUAAUAGCAGUUGUUGCAUGACAACUGUUUGAAAGGUGCAAUUGCACCACUACCAGAUGGACCUGCGUUGUAUUAGCUAGUUGGUGGGGUAACGGCUCACCAAGGCGACGAUACAUAGCCGACCUGAGAGGGUGGUCGGCCACACUGGGACUGAGACACGGCCCAGACUCCUACGGGAGGCAGCAGUAGGGAAUCUUCGGCAAUGGACGGAAGUCUGACCGAGCAACGCCGCGUGAGUGAAGAAGGUUUUCGGAUCGUAAAGCUCUGUUGUAAGAGAAGAACGAGUGUGAGAGUGGAAAGUUCACACUGUGACGGUAUCUUACCAGAAAGGGACGGCUAACUACGUG
rnacentral:rRNA from 1 species